GUUACCUCACCAAGCUCUUUACUCUCCUAACCAUAACUGACCCCUUUCUUCUUCCUUUCUCUUGCUUACCACGAUUUAGGGCUUCUUCUCUUCCACUUUUUCCUUUCGAGGUAAAUCUCCAACGCCUUGCUUUUCCUCUUCUCCCUUCCCAUAACAAAGAUUAAGACUUGCACUUACUGCCAGGAUGGGUGCAUUGUAUGAAGAGACGUAGUCAAUCUUGGGAUGAAGAUUUCUAUUUGGCAUAACUCCAAAGCGUGUCAAGUAUAAUAUAACUGUUUGUUAAGAGACAUUGUAAAUUUGCUCGUGCAUAUUCUAAAUUUACUUAUAACAGUUUCAAACUUUCAAUA